GACUACGACCUCAGAUCAGACGAGACAACCCGCUGAAUUUAAG
rnacentral:rRNA from 2 species